rnacentral:rRNA from 1 species
CGCGCAGGCGGUUCUAUUAGUCGGUCUUAAAAGUGCGGGGCUUAACCCCGUGAGGGGACCGAAACUGUAGGACUAGAGUAUCGGAGAGGAAAGCGGAAUUCCUAGUGUAGCGGUGAAAUGCGUAGAUAUUAGGAGGAACACCAGUGGCGAAAGCGGCUUUCUGGACGAUAACUGACGCUGAGGCGCGAAAGCCAGGGGAGCGAACG